UACGUAGGGUGCAAGCGUUAAUCGGAAUUACUGGGCGUAAAGCGUGCGCAGGCGGUUUUGUAAGUCUGUCGUGAAAUCCCCGGGCUCAACCUGGGAAUUGCGAUGGAGACUGCAAGGCUAGAAUCUGGCAGAGGGGGGUAGAAUUCCACGUGUAGCAGUGAAAUGCGUAGAGAUGUGGAGGAACACCGAUGGCGAAGGCAGCCCCCCUGGGCUAACACUGACGCUCAGGCACGAAAGCGUGGGGAGCAAACGAGGAUUACGAA
rnacentral:rRNA from 1 species